ensembl:snRNA U6 U6 spliceosomal RNA
GUGCUUGCUUCAGCAGCACACAUACUAAAACUGCACCCAUACAGAGAAGAUUAGCAUGGGCCCUGUGCAAGGAUGACACAGAUUCAUAAAGCGUUUCAUAUCUUU